GCCGCUCGGGUAGCUCAGCAGCAGGAAGGGCAGCGGUGAGCCGGGGGACGGCGGGGUCCUCCAGGAGCGCUGCUGCUGCGGCGGCGGGCGCACUCCGAAGCCGGCGCCUCCAUCGCCGGGGUACAGCAGGAAGAAGGGGGCGGCCACCGGCGAGUCGGGCUCCGACUGCCCGGCGGGGGAGGCCGGCGGCGGCCCCGCCUCGCCCUCUCGGUCCGUGCCCCCGGCGGGAGCGCGGCGCGGCUCCUCCGGCCGCCACUCCCCGCCCCUCGCCGGCUCCUCGCUGCAACUUUCGGCACCAGCGGUGGGCGGCGGCGGGGUCUCAGCCAUGCUCACUCCUUCCUUCGCCGCAGCCUCCGAUUCGCACCUUUCUUCUCGGCCACGGGCUGGCGCCUGGGCUCCGCCGCUCGGCCCACAGCCCGCCCCGCCAGGGUCCAAGCCAGCUGGAGGGACCGCCCCGCCCGACGGCGCGGCCUCGCUACCGGCCGCCUCCUCCAGCCCCUCCCGCCCCGGCCCCCAGCCUGUGACUCGGCUCCCCUAGGGGGCAGCGUCCUCCUCUUCCCACUCCCCACCUUCCGCUUCCCUCCGGCUGGGCUGACUGCCUCCCGACCCUCGGGCCCUGGGCCUCUUCCUUACCCGCCCCCGCUGGGCCCUGUAAGGCGGUCAGGUGUGUCUAGUGCUUGAAAAGUGGAAGACCUGGCGAAAUACCUGGCGGCGUUUUGUCGUGUAACCGCCAACUUUAUCGGUAGCACGAAGGCACAAAGAUCUGGGUUGAAGAAGAGGCGAAAGCUAAUUUUAAAAAAGCACCUCCCUGCCCCCGGGUAUUAAACUGUACCAUUUGCCUUUCACACACUGCAACUUCAACCGUUGAUUCACUGUUUGGAGUAUUGAGCUCUUUAUGUGAGAAACCAAAGGUGGGUGUCUUCCUUCCACCACCUCUUUUGUUCCCGUCUUGUGCGCUGUACUGAAAUCCUGUAUUUGCUUUGACUUUAAUUCCCUGGUUUUCUAGUGCCGCGGGUGCGCAUGAGUGCAUUUUAAAUCAAACAGCUUAGAAUUUAUACGACAAAUGUCAAUUACAGGUCGACAGUUUUCUCUUUCACAGUGCCCGUGUCUCGCUAGUAAUUAGCCACCGUUGCUUUGAGAAUUCGAAUCAAUGAUUACUGAUCCAGUAAUUCCCUUAAGUAAACAUUUCUUUCGGCAAUAAAGACAAUUUCCAGUUA
rnacentral:lncRNA from 1 species